rnacentral:rRNA from 1 species
UACGAAGGGGGCUAGCGUUGCUCGGAAUCACUGGGCGUAAAGGGCGCGUAGGCGGAUCUUUAAGUCGGGGGUGAAAGCCUGAGGCUCAACCUCAGAAUUGCCUUCGAUACUGGAGAUCUUGAGACCGGAAGAGGUAAGUGGAACUGCGAGUGUAGAGGUGAAAUUCGUAGAUAUUCGCAAGAACACCAGUGGCGAAGGCGGCUCACUGGCCCGGUACUGACGCUGAGGUGCGAAAGCGUGGGGAGCAAACAGGG